rnacentral:rRNA from 1 species
GAUGAACGCUGGCGGCGUGCCUAAUACAUGCAAGUCGAGCGAACAGAUGAGGAGCUUGCUCCUCUAACGUUAGCGGCGGACGGGUGAGUAACACGUGGAUAACCUACCUAUAAGACUGGGAUAACUUCGGGAAACCGGAGCUAAUACCGGAUAAUAUAUUGAACCGCAUGGUUCAAUAGUGAAAGACGGUUUUGCUGUCACUUAUAGAUGGAUCCGCGCCGCAUUAGCUAGUUGGUAAGGUAACGGCUUACCAAGGCAACGAUGCGUAGCCGACCUGAGAGGGUGAUCGGCCACACUGGAACUGAGACACGGUCCAGACUCCUACGGGAGGCAGCAGUAGGGAAUCUCCCGCAAUGGGCGAAAGCCUGACGGAGCAACGCCGCGUGAGUGAUGAAGGUCUUCGGAUCGUAAAACUCUGUUAUUAGGGAAGAACAAAUGUGUAAGUAACUAUGCACGUCUUGACGGUACCUAAUCAGAAAGCCACGGCUAACUACGUG